GGUUAGUUUAGGUAUUGGGUUAGAGAUGGUUAGUUAAGGUAUUGGGUUAGAGAUGGUUAGUUUAGGUAUUGGGUUAGAGAUGGUUAGUCUAGGUAGUAGGUUAGAGAUGGUUAGUUUAGGUAUUGGGUUAGAGAUGGUUAGUUCAGGUAUUGGGUUAGAGAUGGUUAGUUUAGGUAGUAGGUUAGAGAUGGUUAGUUUAGGUAUUGGGUUAGAGAUUGUUAGUUUAGGUAUUGGAUUAGAGAUGGUUAGUUCAGGUAUUGGGCUAGAGAUGGUUAGUUUAGGUAUUGAGUUAGAGAUGGUUAGUUUAGGUAUUGGGUUAGAGAUGGUAAGUUUAGGUAUUGGGUUAGAGAUGGUUGGUUUAGGUAUUAGGUUAGAGAUGGUUAGUUUAGGUAUUGGGUUAGAGAUGGUCAGUUUAGGUAUUAGGUUAGAGAUGGUUCGUUUAGGUAUUGGGUUAGAGAUGGUUAGUUUAGGUAUUGGGUUAGAGAUGGUUAGUUAAGGUAUUGGGUUAGAGAUGGUUAGUUUAGGUAUUAGGUUAGAGAUGGUGAGUUUAGGUAUUAGGUAUUGGGUUAGAGAUGGUUGGUUCAGGUAUUGGGUUAGAGAUGGUUAGUUUAGGUAUUGUGUUAGAGAUGGUUAGUUUAGG
ensembl:lncRNA